UACGGAGGAUGCGAGCGUUAUCCGGAUUUAUUGGGUUUAAAGGGAGCGUAGGCGGGCAGGUAAGUCCGUGGUGAAAUCUCUGAGCUUAACUCAGAAACUGCCAUGGAUACUAUUUGUCUUGAAUAUUGUGGAGGUAAGCGGAAUAUGUCAUGUAGCGGUGAAAUGCUUAGAUAUGACAUAGAACACCAAUUGCGAAGGCAGCUUACUACACAGUUAUUGACGCUGAGGCACGAAAGCGUGGGGAUCAAACAGG
rnacentral:rRNA from 1 species